AGUGAACGCUGGCGGUAGGCCUAACACAUGCAAGUCGAACGGCAGCACAGUAAGAGCUUGCUCUUACGGGUGGCGAGUGGCGGACGGGUGAGGAAUACAUCGGAAUCUACUUUUUCGUGGGGGAUAACGUAGGGAAACUUACGCUAAUACCGCAUACGACCUACGGGUGAAAGCAGGGGAUCUUCGGACCUUGCCCGAUUGAAUGAGCCGAUGUCGGAUUAGCUAGUUGGCGGGGUAAAGGCCCACCAAGGCGACGAUCCGUAGCUGGUCUGAGAGGAUGAUCAGCCACACUGGAACUGAGACACGGUCCAGACUCCUACGGGAGGCAGCAGUGGGGAAUAUUGGACAAUGGGCGCAAGCCUGAUCCAGCCAUACCGUGUGGGUGAAGAAGGCCUUCGGGUUGUAAAGCCCUUUUGUUGGGAAAGAAAAGAAGCAGGUUAAUACCCCGCUGUUCUGACGGUACCCAAAGAAUAAGCACCGGCUAACUUCGUG
rnacentral:rRNA from 1 species